rnacentral:rRNA from 1 species
AUUGAACGCUGGCGGCAGGCCUAACACAUGCAAGUCGAGCGGAUGAAGGGAGCUUGCUCCUGGAUUCAGCGGCGGACGGGUGUGUAAUGCCUAGGAAUCUGCCUGGUAGUGGGGGAUAACGUCCGGAAACGGGCGCUAAUACCGCAUACGUACUGAGGGAGAAAGAGGGGGAUCUUCGGACCUCACGCUAUCAGAUGAGCCUAGGUCGGAUUAGCUAGUUGGUGGGGUAAAGGCCUACCAAGGCGACGAUCCGUAACUGGCCUGAGAGGAUGAUCAGUCACCCGGGAACUGGGAAACGGUCCAGACUCCUACGGGAGGCAGCAGUGGGGAAUAUUGGACAAUGGGCGAAAGCCUGAUCCAGCCAUGCCGCGUGUGUGAAGAAGGUCUUCGGAUUGUAAAGCACUUUAAGUUGGGAGGAAGGGCAGUAAGUUAAUACCUUGCUGUUUUGACGUUACCAACAGAAUAAGCACCGGCUAACUUCGUG